UACGUAGGGUGCAAGCGUUAAUCGGAAUUACUGGGCGUAAAGGGUGCGCAGGCGGUUCUGUAAGUCAGAUGUGAAAUCCCCGGGCUUAACCUGGGAAUUGCGUUUGAAACUACAGAGCUGGAGUGUGGCAGAGGGGGGGUGGAAUUCCAUGUGUAGCAGUGAAAUGCGUAGAGAUAUGGAAGAACAUCGAUGGCGAAGGCAACCCCCUGGGUUAACACUGACGCUCAUGCACGAAAGCGUGGGGAGCAAACAGG
rnacentral:rRNA from 1 species